rnacentral:tRNA from 1 species
GCCUUCGUGGUAUAACGGUAGCACACUCGGCGUGUAUUCGACAGGCCCAGGUUCGAGUCCCGGCGAGCGCA